rnacentral:lncRNA from 1 species
GCUGUUUUGAUGCUCCAGCUAAGGAAAAUCUUUGAAGAUGUUUUUUUCCUCAGAAUGAAGCUCCCCACUGCUACACUAGGGAGGGCAGACAGGUGAGAUGAAGCUUUGACCACAAUAAGCAUGAAACUCUAUGGAGC